rnacentral:piRNA from 1 species
UGCUUCCAAGUGACCUUUUGGUGACCCGUC